GAUCCGGGUGGCGAUGGUCAGUUCUUGAGCUUCGAACUGGCAGAAAGCUAUACAAGAAGAUCAGGGUGGCGAUGGUCAGUUCUUGAGCUACGAAAAGGCAGAAAGCUAUACAAAAAGAUCAGGGUGGCGAUGGUCAGUUCUUGAGCUUCGAACUGGCAGAAAGCUAUGCAAAAGGAUCAGGGUGGCAAUCGUCAGUUCUUGAGCUUCGAACAGGCAGAAAGCUUUGCAACAAUAUCCGUAUGGCGAUGGUCAGUUCUUGAGCUUCGAACAAGCAGAAAGCUAUGCAACAAGAUCCCGGUGGCUAUGGUCAGUUCUUGAGCUUCGAACUGGCAGAAAGCUAUAGAACAAGAUCAGGGUGGCAAUAGUCAGUUCUUGAGCUUCGAACGGGCAGAAAGGAGGAGGCCAGCUGAGACACUAUAGUUGUGAUGAUGAAAGUUGGGCAAUGAUGAAUACAAGCAAAAGGCUGUUCAAAGAAUUUCCAACUACAACCCUGCAGACCGGGAGCCAAAUGAACAGGACCUCGACCAGCUUCAAUAACAUCUGAACAUGUUUCUAUAAGGAAGAGUUGACAAGGUACCUGAACAUUACAAUGACUCUUGCCAUCUUGAAAGAACACUCCGCACGCGCACACACGCGAACGGUUUUUUUUGCUUGUUGGCCCGCACACUGCUUGGCGUUUAGAAUAUACAUAUGCCUUGUUACUGUGCAGAUACAUUGUGUCUGGUAUAGCGAAAUAUGACCAGCACUUGAUUGUAUUGGGAUGAGUGGCCUUUUGGAUUAUAAUGGAACUUGGACUUCACUCCUAUGAAUCAGAUACUGCCAGGCUGCCAAGGAUGUGCACACACAACUGCUUUGUUCACGGGACAAAAUCCGGUGGCCCGCACUCCACCGGAUUAUAUACUGCAUUGCAUUGCUGGUGCCAAUGUAGUGUACUUUAUGUAUGGAGAUUUGUGAUGACCUUGGUGUAUGCUAUUUACUGUUGCUAACAUGCAAAAUUCCUACUCCGUCUAGACAAAGCCUUGUAAAUUUGAGUUUCCAAAUUUUCGAU